AGAGCGAACGCUGGCGGCAGGCUUAACACAUGCAAGUCGAGCGCCCCGCAAGGGGGAGCGGCAGACGGGUGAGUAACACGUGGGAACGUGCCUUUUGGUUCGGAACAACCCAGGGAAACUUGGGCUAAUACCGGAUAAGCCCUUACGGGGAAAGAUUUAUCGCCAAAAGAUCGGCCCGCGUCUGAUUAGCUAGUUGGUGGGGUAAUGGCCCACAAGGCUACGAUCAGUAGCUGGUCUGAGAGGAUGAUCAGCCACAUUGGGACUGAGACACGGCCCAAACUCCUACGGGAGCAGCAGUGGGGAAUAUUGGACAAGUGGGGGCAACCCGUGAUCCAGCCAUGCCGCGUGAGUGAUGAAGGCCUUAGGGUUGUAAAGCUCUUUAGCAGGAGAUAAUGGACGGUACUGACAAGAAAACGCCCGAUAACUUCGUCGCCAGCACGCCGA
rnacentral:rRNA from 1 species